CGGCGCAUACCGGCGACUCCACCGGCCGUCGCCCACAACAAAAGCGCGAGACGCGCCCGCGUCAUGCGUGCAUGUUGGCCAUGGCCGACAUGCGUAGGUUGUCUUUUGUUCCAUGCGGCCACAAUGUCGGCCAGCACCACGGCGUCAAAGUCGACAUUGACGCGUGUCUGCUCCUCCAAUGCCUUGGACAUGUUGGCGAGGGCGAUGUCGACGUCUUUGUAGGCGAUGGCGUCCCAGAGCGCGAUCGAGGCAGCCGCGGCUGCACCUGUCGUAAACAUGCGGCCAUGGGGCAGGCCUGUGAGAUCCGGCACCAACGGCACGUCGGCGUCUGCCGCCCUGGCGAGAACGGCAGAGGCUGCCAUCCCUGCCACAGCCUCAAAGAAAGGGCUUUGGUCCAGGCCGCCAUGUGACCCAAGGGCGGACCACAGCGGUCGCCUUUGGUCGGCGUUGGUGCCACACGACAGCGCAAACUCGCUGAUGGCGUCCCUGCACCACACAGAUAGCGAUGCAGCCCGACGGCGUCGAGCGCGCGGCACCAGGUCUUCCAGCGUGACAUAAAAGGUGACAUCGCUCAUCGCAUUGUAGGUGUGUCUUUGGCGCAUCACAAUAUAGGCGAUUGCGUCGCGCCACGUAUCCGUGUGUGCCUCGGAGAGGUCACCCCCCUGCAGGCCAUUCCAGUCGUCGACAGUGUCGAAAAAGGCACGCAUGAUGCCGCCUCGAUUGUCGACGAUGGCAUAUAAUGCGCCCUGUACGUCGGACGCUCGCGAAAAGGCCAUCGUGACCAAGGCAGUAAUAUUCAUGCUCGACCUCCAGCAGGGAAUGGAUCGGUCGACAUGGACGACAAUCGAAUCGGUCGGUUGGGGUGCGCGAUCGUGUCCAAGGGCCCGAUAUGCCUCGGUCCCAUAAAACCCUGCGCCGAGGCGGCGGUCAAGGUCCCUUGCGGCCUCGGGCGACAGCGGCACGACAGUCGCGAUGCGUGCCAAUGCAAGAAACGGUGCCAACAUGUCGGCCAAGACCCCCAUGGCGGCUCCAGCGCGGGCGUCCAACGAAGCGCGCCAGCGCAACUCCCAGAUGACGAGCCACGAGUAAAACUUUUCAGGCGACCCCGCGACAUCACGAUGCACACGCAAAACAUAGGGCUCGUGCGCUGGUGGCUCGAUGGCGUCGACGACAUUGGGUCGGUCGGCAUCCAAGAGGGCGUUGACAGCCACUAGGCGGUUGAGAGUUGCGACGGCAUGGCGGCAUGCGUCGAGGAGCCAUGCCGCUGCACGCCAUGAUCUCGGCACCGUCCACGCAAUCUGUGGGUCGUCGGCAGCGGGGACACAUUGGUGUGGUCCAAACUUGGGGUCAAACCGGCCGGCGAUGCCCACGCGCGGUCCCCAUGUGGUGCGCAGCACGCCGUCAUCGACCAAAAAAUGGGCGGACGCUUUGUUGGCAAGUGCCAAGGCCAUAUAGUCGCACAUUGGCAGAAAGCCGAGCACAUGCACGAGACAAUCAUUGUCGAGCGUCGCCAAUACUCGGGCCAUCCUAGUGAGGGCGACAAUGUUGAUGGCGACAACAACAACAACCAACGGCGGCAACGGUAGGUGGGCGUCCAGACAAAAAAUGAGUCGAAAAAAAAAAGAAUUGCACGACAGCAGCACAAGGACGGGAACAAGGACGAAAAAAGGACCAGGCCAAUGGCGCGCAUCUGACGCCCCCG
rnacentral:lncRNA from 1 species